rnacentral:tRNA from 12 species
CCGGUAGGUCAACUGGAAGAGCGCCGAGAUGAUCAUCUGGAGACCUGGGUUCGAUUCCCAGC